UAGUGAUAGGCCAUUGGACAUCUAUUAUUUCCAUGUUUUAGACAUGAUGACAUAGAGAUAGGCCUAUGAGUGAGUUGUGACAUAUUCCAUGUUAUAGACAUGAGGACUUGGUACUUAAGACAUACUCAUAGCAUGCUUGCCAUUAUGCUCAUUCGCACAUGCUUGUGAGGGUCGCUCCCUACAAGCCGGUACUCCGGAGUUGGCCUUUGCGAUACGUUCG
rnacentral:lncRNA from 1 species